CUCACUCAAGAGCCAACCCUCACAAACCUUCCUAAAAACUAAAAGAGCUAUUACUGAGUCUCAGCGAAUCUUGCCAUGAUCAGCUCUUCCCAGAAGAGAAGGAAGACCAAGGAAAUGAUUUGCUCAGGAUGAGAAAUGAAGAUGGCCAUCUUGUGCUCAAACAAACAGAAGUCCUCUGAUGAUCUCAUCAGCCAUAUGAGGGGUUUUGACCAAGUGAUGCUCUUGAAAGGAGUGAAAGAAGAGGAUGUGGUAAAUUGUCUUCAGAGAAAAAGCUUCUCAAAAGGUCUUAAAGCAGCUUGAAGAAUGGU